rnacentral:rRNA from 1 species
AUGCUCACCAUUGCUUUGCUAUGGUAUUGGUGGCAAGAAAGAAAUCGUGGAAAUCAUGGUGAAUGCAGAGCCACAACGGAGGAGUUCCAAUAUGAUAUUCGGUUUCAUGUGAAUGAAUGGAAGGAGUUCGUUGAUAGCAAGCCUGCAGUCCUUAAUACCACUGUCGACUGCUCUUGGGUGCCACCACCGCUUAACACAAUGAAGAUUAAUAUUGAUGGUGCUUAUUCAGCACAAGCUGGGGGUGGCGGAUGGGGACUGAUAUGUAGAGAUGCUACCCGAGAGAUACUAUUUGCUGUUGGUGGUUCAUCCUCAGCCAUGGCCAGUGCCCUUCAUGCUGAGACGACAGCCCUGCUAACAAGCUGUGUCAAUCUUGCUGAUCAAAUAGGUGUGGGGAGAGUUGAGUUUGAGACCGAUUAUCUAGUACUGAACAAGCUGUGUCUAUUGAUAUUGAUGAUCGGUCUUCUCUUGGACAAGCCUUUAGAGAACUCAAGUUUAGGGUUGCUACAUGUUUUAUCCAAGCUAGUGUAG